rnacentral:rRNA from 1 species
AUUGAACGCUGGCGGUAUGCUUAACACAUGCAAGUCGAACGGUAACAGGCCUUCGGGCGCUGACGAGUGGCGGACGGGUGAGUAACGCGUAGGAAUCUGCCUCAUAGUGGGGGACAACGUGGGGAAACUCACGCUAAUACCGCAUACGCCCUACGGGGGAAAGCGGGGGAUCGUAAGACCUCGCGCUAUUGGAGCGGCCGAUGUCCGAUUAGCUAGUUGGUGGGGUAAAAGCCUACCAAGGCGACGAUCGGUAGCUGGUCUGAGAGGAUGAUCAGCCACACUGGGACUGAGACACGGCCCAGACACCUACGGGUGGCAG